rnacentral:rRNA from 1 species
CCUAGGGUGGCAGCAGUGGGGAAUAUUGGACAAUGGGCGAAAGCCUGAUCCAGCCAUGCCGCGUGUGUGAAGAAGGCCUUCGGGUUGUAAAGCACUUUCAGUGGGGAAGAAAGCCUUGGGGCUAAUACCCUCGAGGAAGGACAUCACCCACAGAAGAAGCACCGGCUAACUCCGUGCCAGCAGCCGCGGUAAUACAGGAGGGUGCGAGCGUUAAUCGGAAUUACUGGGCGUAAAGCGCGCGUAGGCGGUCUGAUAAGCCGGUUGUGAAAGCCCCGGGCUCAACCUGGGAACGGCAUCCGGAACUGUCAGGCUAGAGUGCAGGAGAGGAAGGUAGAAUUCCCGGUGUAGCGGUGAAAUUCGUAGAGAUCGGGAGGAAUACCAGUGGCGAAGGCGGCCUUCUGGACUGACACUGACGCUGAGGUGCGAAAGCGUGGGUAGCAAACAGGAUUAGAUACCCGAGUAGUC